GACGAACGCUGGCGGCGUGCUUAACACAUGCAAGUCGAGCGAUGAAGUUCCUUCGGGAAUGGAUUAGCGGCGGACGGGUGAGUAACACGUGGGUAACCUGCCUCAUAGAGGGGAAUAGCCUUCCGGAAGGAAGAUUAAUACCGCAUAAGAUUGUAGUAUCGCAUGAUACAGCAAUUAAAGGAGUAAUCCGCUAUGAGAUGGACCCGCGUCGCACUAGCUAGUUGGUGAGGUAACGGCUCACCAAGGCGACGAUGCGUAGCCGACCUGAGAGGGUGAUCGGCCACAUUGGGACUGAGACACGGCCCAGACUGCUACGGGAGGCAGCAGUGGGGAAUAUUGCACAAUGGGGGAAACCCUGAUGCAGCAACGCCGCGUGAGUGAUGACGGUCUUCGGAUUGUAAAACUCUGUCUUCAGGGACGAUAAUGACGGUACCUGAGGAGGAAGCCACGGCUAACUACGUGCCAGCCGCCGCGGUAA
rnacentral:rRNA from 1 species